UGAUGACGAGACGCUAAGGCGUUGAAGCAGUGUAUGUCAGACUUCCAAGAAAAGCUCGCAAUGUCACAAAUAAAAAGUGCCUGUACCAUAACCGACACAGGUGGGUAGGUAGAGUAUACUAAGGGGCGCGAGAUAACUCUCUCUAAGGAACUCGGCAAAAUGACUCCGUAACUUCGGGAGAAGGAGUGCCUUAUUUAUAAGGUUGCAAUAACAAGAUCCAAGCAACUGUUUAUCAAAAACACAGGUCUCCGCUAAGUCGUAAGACGAUGUAUGGGGGCUGACGCCUGCCCAGUGCCAGAAGGUUAAAGAAGUUGGUUAGUGUAUGCGAAGCUGAUGACUGAAGCCCUGGUGAACGGCGGCCGUAACAAUAACGGUCCUAAGGUAGCGAAAUUCCUUGUCGGGUAAGUUCCGACCCGCACGAAAGGCGUAAUGAUUUGGAUACUGUCUCGGAGAGAGGCUCGGUGAAAUAGACUUGUCUGUGAAGAUGCGGACUACCUGCACCAGGACAGAAAGACCCUAUGAAGCUUUACUGUAACUUGAAAUUGGAAUUGGACUUUGCUUGCGCAGUAUAGGUGGGAAGCGUUGAAAAUAUUCUUGCGGGAGUAUUGGAGCUAUCAGUGAGAUACCACUCUUGUAAUGUUAGAUUUCUAACUUUGAACCAUAAUCUGGUCAAAGAACAGUUUCAGGUGGGCAGUUUGACUGGGGCGGUCGCCUCCCAAAUGGUAACGGAGGCGUACAAAGGUUUCCUCUGAACGGAUAGAAAUCGUAUCUAGAGUGUAAAGGCAUAAGGAAGCUUGACUGUGAGACCUACAAGUCGAGCAGGGACGAAAGUCGGUCUUAGUGAUCUGACGGUACUGAGUGGAAAGGCCGUCACUCAACGGAUAAAAGUUACUCUAAGGAUAACAGGCUGAUCUCCCCCAAGAGUUCACAUCGACGGGGAGGUUUGGCACCUCGAUGUCGGCUCAUCGCAUCCUGGGGCGGUAGUACGUCCCAAGGGUUGGGCUGUUCGCCCAUGAAAGCGGUACGCGAGCUGGGUUCAGAACGUCGUGAGACAGUUCGGUCCAUAUCCGGUGUAGGCGCUAGAAUAUUGAGAGGAGCCUUCUUUAGUACGAGAGGACCGAGAAGGACACACCGCUGGUGUACCAGUUAUCGUGCCAACGGUAAACGCUGGGUAGCUAUGUGUGGAGUGGAUAACCGCUGAAAGCAUCUAAGUGGGAAGCCCACCUCGAGAUGAGUAUUCUCA
rnacentral:rRNA from 1 species